ensembl:snRNA U6 U6 spliceosomal RNA
GUGCUGGCUUCAGAGUCACAUAUAUUAAAAUUGGAAUGAUAAAGAGACUAGUAGGGCCCCUGUGCAAGGAUGAUAUGAAAAUUUGUGAAGUGUUCCAUAUUUUU